UGGGGAAUAUUGGACAAUGGGCGAAAGCCUGAUCCAGCAAUGCCGCGUGAGUGAUGAAGGCCUUAGGGUUGUAAAGCUCUUUUACCCGGGCUGAUAAUGACAGUACCGGGAGAAUAAGCCCCGGCUAACUCCGUGCCAGCAGCCGCGGUAAGACGAAGGGGGCUAGCGUUGUUCGGAAUUACUGGGCGUAAAGCGAGUGUAGGUGGUUGUCAUAGUCAGGUGUGAAAGCCUUGAGCUCAACUCAAGAAAUGCACUUGAUACUGGGCAGCUAGAGGACCGGAGAGGAUAGUGGAAUUCCCAGCGUAGUGGUGAAAUACGUAGAGAUUGGGAAGAACACCAGUGGCGAAGGCGGCUAUCUGGACGGUUUCUGACACUAAGACUCGAAAGCGUGGGGAGCAAA
rnacentral:rRNA from 1 species